UACAGGGGGUGCGAGCGUUGUUCGGAAUUACUGGGCGUAAAGGGCGCGUAGGCGGCUUAGCAAGUCAGACGUGAAAGCCCGGGGCUUAACCCCGGAAGUGCGUUUGAAACUGCUAGGCUUGAGUACAGUAGAGGUUAGUGGAAUUCCCAGUGUAGAAGUGAAAUUCGUAGAUAUUGGGAGGAACACCAGUGGCGAAGGCGGCUAACUGGGCUGUAACUGACGCUGAGGCGCGAAAGCAUGGGGAUCAAACAGG
rnacentral:rRNA from 1 species